GCCCAGCCGUAAACUUUAACUUACUUCAACAUCGCCAGGGAACUACGAGCAAAGCUUAAAACCCAAAGGACUUGACGGUACCCCAUAUCCCCCUAGAGGAGCCUGUCCUAUAAUCGAUAACCCCCGUUUAACCUCACCAUUUCUAGUUAAUCAGCCUGUAUACCUCCGUCGUCAGCUUACCACGUGAGCGACAUUUAGUGAGCUUAAUGCCCAUACGCCAACACGUCAGGUCAAGGUGCAGCAAAUGAAAUGGGAAGAGAUGGGCUACACUCUCUAAUUUAGAAGACACGAAAGACUACCUAUGAAACCUAGUCAGAAGGCGGAUUUAGCAGUAAAAAGAAACUAGAGUGUUCUUUUUAACCUGGCACUGGGGUGUGUACACACCGCCCGUCACCCUCUUCAAAGCUACAAAAAAGUACUUAACUAAUAACAGCACCACAGAAGAGGCAAGUCGUAACAUGGUAAGUAUACCGGAAGGUGUGCUUGGAAA
rnacentral:rRNA from 1 species